ACUCCUACGGGAGGCAGCAGUCGAGAAUAAUUCACAAUGGGGGCAACCCUGAUGGUGCAACGCCGCGUGGAGGAUGACGGUCUUCGGAUUGUAAACUCCUGUCAUCUGGGAGUAAGACCUGGGCAUGAAUAGUGCACAGGGUUGAUAGUACCAGAAGAGGAAGGGACGGCUAACUUCGUGCCAGCAGCCGCGGUAAU
rnacentral:rRNA from 1 species